rnacentral:rRNA from 1 species
UACGUAGGCAGCAAGCGUUGUUCGGAGUUACUGGGCGUAAAGGGUGCGUAGGCGGCUUUUUAAGUUUGGUGUGAAAUCCUCCCGGCUCAACUGGGAGGGUGCGCCGAAUACUGAGAGGCUAGAGUGUGGGAGAGGAAAGUGGAAUUCCUGGUGUAGCGGUGAAAUGCGUAGAUAUCAGGAGGAACACCUGUGGUGUAAACGGCUUUCUGGACCAUAACUGACGCUGAGGCACGAAAGCGUGGGUAGCAAACAAG